GGGCCGUUCGCAGGUAACCUGGUGCUCCGGGAGAAGGGUGGGCAGUGAGAUACCUUUGGGGAAGGGCAAGUCCCGGAGCUCAGGCCUCGUGGUGACCUCGUAGGUGCCUGAAGAAGAGCCAAUGCCAUCCCAAACUGUGGCGCAGCAGAGGCUUUUGAUCAAGGGGGGCAAAGUUGUGAACGACGACCACUCUGUGGUGGCUGACGUGUACGUGGAAGAUGGAGUGGUGAGGCGAGUGGGAACCAACCUCUGCCCCGAGCCACCCAGCGGGCUCCUCGUGUUGGAUGCAACCAACAAGCUGGUGAUCCCUGGGGGCAUCGACACGCAUACGCACAUGCAGUUCCCUUUCAUGGGCAGCAGGUCGAAAGAUGACUUCUACACAGGAACGAAGGCUGCUAUAGCAGGAGGCACAACUAUGAUCAUUGACUUUGCCAUCCCUCAGAAAGGCUGCUCCCUUAUUGAAGCCUUUGAUACUUGGAAGAGCUGGGCAGACCCUAAAGUCUGCUGUGAUUAUGCACUGCACGUGGGAGUUACAUGGUGGAGCAACAAGGUGAAGGAAGAAAUGAAAAGUCUUGUCCAAAGCAAAGGUGUCAACUCCUUCAAGAUGUUUAUGGCCUAUAAAGAUCUAUACAUGGUCAAUGAUGAGGUAUUAUAUGAAGCUUUUUCCCAGUGUAAGGAACUUGGAGCAAUUGCUCAAGUCCAUGCAGAGAACGGGGAGUUAAUUGCACAGGGUGCAAAGAAGAUGCUGGCCAUGGGAAUAACUGGUCCUGAGGGGCAUGAGCUGUGUCGUCCUGAAGAAGUGGAAGCUGAAGCUACACAGAGAGCAAUUACCAUAGCAAACGUUAUAAACUGCCCCCUUUUUGUAGUCCAUGUAAUGAGUAAAUCUGCAGCAAGGGUGAUAACUAAUGCACGAAGAGAAGGGAAGGUGGUUUAUGGGGAGCCUAUUGCUGCUAGUCUUGGCACUGAUGGUACCAACUACUGGAAUAAAGACUGGCAGCAUGCUGCAGGACAUGUCAUGGGACCUCCACUGAGACCAGAUCCUUCUACUCCUGAUUUUCUCAUGAACUUAUUGGCCAAUGAUGACCUGUCUGUGACAGGGACUGAUAAUUGCACCUUUGACACAUGCCAGAAAGCUCUGGGGAAGGAUGACUUCACCAAAAUCCCUAAUGGAGUGAAUGGUGUAGAAGACAGGAUGUCAGUCAUAUGGGAAAAAGGCGUUUACAGUGGAAAAAUGGAUGAAAACAGAUUUGUAGCUGUUACCAGCACAAAUGCAGCAAAAAUCUUUAACCUUUACCCAAAGAAGGGGAGAAUUGCUGUGGGUUCUGAUGCUGACAUCGUAAUUUGGGAUCCCAAAGCUACAAGGACAAUAUCUGCAGAGACCCAUCACCAGGCCAACAACUUCAAUAUAUUUGAAGGAAUGGUCUGCCACGGAGUCCCAGUUGCAACAAUUUCAAGAGGCAAAGUGGUUUAUGAAGGUGGAACUUUCAAUGUCACAGCAGGGGAAGGCAGAUAUGUCUCCCGUCCACCAUUCCCUCCAUAUGUCUACAAACGAGUGAGGCAGCGGGAUCAGGUCUGCCAGCCCGUUCCUGUUAAGAGAGCACCAUAUACAGAUGUGGUCUCAGCAACGCCCAUCACACCACAAUAAUAGGCUCAUUCCCAAGGUUUGGCUCUUGCAGAUAAAAGUAACCUCGCUCUCCCCAGUGAAGCCAUGCAUGCUGGUUCCAACGACUAGUCGAUCCAUAAUCAACUUUUCAAGCACCAACAUGUGACAACAAUAACCAAUAAACAUUAUACAGGCCUUCCUGCUUGAAAGUUGUCAUAGAAAUUUCUGUUUAAAAGGAAUUCGUUAUUAGAACCGAAAAAUGAUUUUAAGCAAAUGGAGUAAUAGUAAAAUAAUAAUUAUAAUUAUAAUGUAGCAGCAGAUAUGUAGGUUCUUAGAAGUAGGUACGUCUGGAGAUUGUAUUUCUUCAUAUUUUUCUUUAGAAGAUAUCAGCUAAUCUAUAAAGUAAAAGCAAUGAGUUUUCAGCAAGGGUUAAACAUAUUCUAUAUUCUUCCUCUGUUAGGUCACUAAUUUCAUGUGUUACAAAGAUUUCUGUUACAUUCAGGGAUUCAGAGAAUUCUGACAACAGAUAGCUGAGUUUGAUUUUUGGUUUUUUCCCUUCCUGGAUGGAGACAUCAGGUACAGCAAGAUCCUGAUUCAGGGCAACUGUCACUGGUUGAAAAGGCGCUGCUACAUUGCUCUGUCCUUAUCUUUGAAGGAGUUCAUACGUUCGAACUGUUCCAUUUGCAUAGCCAGGUGUUUAUUGAUCUGGUCAAGUGACUAUUUUAUUUUCCCUAGGCUAACCUAUAGUUACCAUGCUGAUGAACUCACUUAUAAUACCGUUCUGCAUUGUGUUCUGGCUUUAUAGAGGGACAUACAUGCGUAGCCUAUAGGUCACCAAGGGCAGAGAAUAAUACCACAAUUUCAAAAACCUUUUUUGACUGAAAAUGUGAGGUUUUCCCCCAUGUAAAUAAUACUUUGCUUUUGUAAGAUAGGAUUUUUCUCAUUUGCCAGAUUUAUCCUGUUUCCUCUUUGAGGGGUAAGAAUAUUCUUUGAAGUGUGAUGACAUUACCAUGCCUAGACAGGUUUUGCCGUGGAAACCUAGAAUGUUUUUUAAAAUUUCAUUUUCACAUGCAAUAGCCUUUCUUUUUAAGCAACUGUCACUAGGCAAUAUUUGAAAGAAAAAUGACAAAAUAUCAAAAAAAAAAAAAAAAAAAACUGCCACACCUAUACAGGGCGUUUAUUGAUCCUAUAAGUAGCAGCAGUAUAAUCUGUCCUUCUGUGCAACCCAUGGGCCAAACAGACACAGAAAGACACACAUGCCCACUGUAUUUUAAGACAGACACAGAAAGAAUAUGAUAAUUACUGUUGUUUUUAAUUUGACAAUGGAAGGUAGAUUUGUAGUUCCUGCUAUAUGCAUAUAGGCAUGCAAUGAGGUAUGAGCUUGUAUGAGAAACAAACUCCUAGCUGAUCAGUAGGUCUGAUGUCUCUAAAUAGCAAAGGAAACUUUUCUUCAUAACAUGACAGAGAACAGUCAUGCAGAUCAUUAAAGCCCAAAGGAGCAAAGAUAGUGAUUUUUCUAAAAACAGAUGUUUUCACAGUGUGAUAACAGCAAGUAGUUUUAUGACUUACAUAAACACCAGUUAUGUAAAUCGAGUUCCCUAAACCAUGAAAGUAUAUUAUCUGUGGAAAAAUAUAUCAUCUUUUUAGGCAUCCUACACAGUUUUUUUAGAGUAGAAAUAAGGAAGCUUCUCCAUAUACCAUUAGCAAAGAGCUCCUGAUUCCUCUAUUGGUAUAUUCUGCUCUAUAUCAUGGCUUAUACCACUCAUAAAGGGAAUCCUUUGGGUUUUGUUCACAACAGAUUUAUACUUUUAAUUGCAAUGACUCUUAUAACUAGUUUGCAGAAGUCAUGGAAAAAUUCAUCUGCAUAUUCUGCACUGGGAUUUACACCAAAGUGUCCAUUGUAUUUUUGCAACCUUUAGUGCAAAAAUCAUUGAAACCUGUCAGAUUUAUGAUAUUCAUGAGUAUUUAUUUUCUCAUGGCACACAGAACACAAAUCCUGCCUUUAUCAGUUGCUGCAAGGUGCCAGCUGAUAGCCCUUGGGAAACUGUGUGACAUUAAGUAUUUCAGCUCUGUUUUUCAGGCACUGGAGCCUACUGGAGUCUGGCAGUUGAGGCUGUCAGGCUCCAAAUCUGUGCAGUCUUUGUUCUUUCCCCAGUUAAGCAGAGCACACUUAGUGGUAGGAUCUUCGUAGGGGUAUAAUUUUGGAACUGUCCAGGUCCCUAUUCCAAAACACCAGUAGUGAGUGACAGCCGAACCAAAUAUAGUAGGAAGGCUUUUCUAAUAGGCAUAUAGUUGAUGUGGAAUGAAAUGUGAUUAUAAAAUGCAUCUAUGUCAGCACAAGUCCUGAACUGGAGCACUGGAAGGAGCAUUGGACCACCUCUUACUCCUGCCUCAGUCUCUAGUCCCUGGCUAGACUUCUGAAUUCAUCCUGCAACCUGAUCUUAGCUAUUGCUUGCUUAUUACAGACUUGUUGCUGGAGCUGUGUUAUAAUUGUUAUUCUAAGACAACAGCUGCAACACAGUGGAUUGCAAAGUUGGCCUAGAGAUGACUUGUGCAGCCACACAGUUUCCUUGGUCCUUUCACAGGGAAGCAGGAAAAAAAUUACUUUCCCACAGAUGUUUGUAGCCUGGCUCAUUGAACCACAUUCCUCAGGCUGCUGCAGCCUUUACUGAGAGAAAUCUUUGAUUUUGUUUUUGAUUUUCAGUGCUUUGGUCAUUCAGCCAAAGUGAGCAGAUAACUUAUUUUGUCAUGGUUAAAACACAGAGCAACUUCUCCCUUCUUCGCACUUCUCAUUGGGAUACUGCUGGUUUCCUUUCUGUUCUUUUAUGGGAAGGUGAAGAUUCGAAUGCAUCAUAACAGUAAGGCAAAGCCUCUGCUAGCCAUGUUUAUCUCACUCUCCCUAGCCAGUCAGAAAGCUGGGGUCUCUAGUGCCCUGCACCCUCCGGUGAGGUGGAAUCCAGGGCCAGGAGCAGAGAAAGAACUAGGGACAGCCGAUCCUGAUACAUUAUUUUCUAGUUAUAUAACAUUGUUUUCAUCCCCAUAAUUUGCCAGAGAAAUUCUGGCAUGGCCAGCACAUGUUUAUUGUCUGGUUUUCUGUUAGCUAUCAUUCACUGCUUGUAAAGAGCUUACUGCUGUGGUGCAACCACCUCCACCUGCAGUGGUUUGCUCUACCAGCCAGAGUACUAGGGGAUCUCUAUAGACAGCAAUACUGGUGUACAUAGCUUUCCUGGGCCACUGGAGGGCAGGACUGGUAUUAUGUAUCAAGAAUAGCCUGAGAAACAAGGUACUGUCAUGCACAGCAACACCCAUGAAGCAUGUUCACAUGUUUUGAGGCCUGUGCUCAUGAAGUUCACAAUAACAGCCUUACUUUUGGACUGUAUUUCAUCAGCAGGAAAUAGAGUUCAGUUAAUCCUUAUUUUCCACUUUUGCAGCAUAAAACAGAACCAGAGGAACUUGUCCAUUCUUUUUUUUUUUUUUCUUCUUUAUUUGCAAGCACCUCUGGGUGAUUCAGACUGUGCUGAAAACAAAGUGAGUCAGAGCCACAAUAUUGACAGAGCAGGGAUUGGGGUAAAAGCAGUUGUAAACCCAGUGUCCUCUGAUUUAGCAUACUCAGCUGCCCAUGAAAAAUGCUAUAGCAAAACUAGCACAGGGCAAAAAAAAAAAGCCUUUAGCUUCGCCAUGGAGCGAGCCCAGGUUUGGAGCGUGGGGUAGUAACUCGGCGAGUUCUAUAAACAGUUGCUGAUGGUAAACAGCCUCGGUUGUAUCAUACAUCAGGAGGGUCAGGAGUGCUAGCAUGUCUCUCUGAAUUAUUGUCACAAGGCAAUCAGGUCAACCUUUCAUUAAUUUUGCAAACCAGAUUUGAUCCAAUUGGGGGAUUUUUCACAGUCAGUGAAACAACUUCUACACUGUUGAAGGACGUUUAAAAAGGAAGUUGAGCUCUGCUGUGAGUUCAGAGAAGGAAAGGGAUAAAUGAGUCAAAGGCCAAAUCCAAACUUCUCCUCAGACUCUUGUUCUGACUGCUGGUGAUACAUGAAUUUCUUCUGGCAAGCUCUAGAGAAGCAGUUAGAGACAAAGUCCAGUAAAGGGGAGAGGUGCUAAAAAUUCCAAUUAAGCCAAUAAAUGAAUAAAUAAAACCCUUAAUUUCAAAUGUGCUGGUAGUUCACUUAUGCUUCCAGAAAGAAAAAAUACAUGCUUUUAUCUAUGUGGGAAAAUGUUCUAUAAGAGCAGAAGAAAAUAUAUCAAAAGAGGAAAGAAGACUCUAAAUGAGGAAGAGCAGGGGAAAGAGCCAAAAUAAAACAUAGGAAAUGUGAGGAGAAGGUAGGCAAGAAGAGGAACAGAAAUUGUGGAAAAUACUGUUUUUUUAUUGGAACUUGCAGACCGAUUUAUUUUUAAUAAAUAAGAAGAAAAAGCAAUGAUGUAACCACAUGAUUGAAGGGAUGGUAAACAGACAGGACAAAGGGAAUCGCUGGGCAGCAGGCAGAGCAGACAGCUGAAGAUAAUGAAAGAAACCCCCAAACUUCCCCUGCUUGCAGGACAGAAACAAAUAGGAAGAAACGGAAACCUAGUAAGGUCUGUGGAGACUGAGAGUUAUGUCUCUGUGCAAUGCUGGGAGAAAGACAGGCCAUCCUUUUUUCAUCUGUACAACUAUAAAGAAGAUUUCAGGGUAUUAAUGGGUAUUUCCAUUAGCAGGUAUUUCUUCUCCUUUCUUCUCCACCCAAGGGCAACUGAGGCAAAGAACUAAAACUAGAUCAGUAGAUCAGGGUAAGAACCCUGUAGAUCAGGGUAAGAACUGUCCUAUAACCGAGAUGAAUCCCAGUGUCUCUGAGGCCACGAAGGUGACUUUAUUUUAGAAUUCAAAAAGAAUGUGCCAAAUGUGCCAUUUUCCCAGGUAACGCAGAUUUAGGGAAGUAGGGAAGAGCAGAGUCAUCUCCUUUGCCUACCAUUCAGCUCAUUUUCAACACAGGGCUAUGCACAGGUAUAGUCACAUAAGCAAAUUGUCCAUUAGUCCACUCAAGUGUGCAUGUCCAAUACAAGUGUAACAGCAACAACAUUUGCAAGAUGGCACCCUCAUGCUGGCACAAGCACAGCACAAAAUAACCCAAGCUUCUGCCCUAUAUUUCUAACGUGUUUUCUGCAAUGCUUUCUGCACAGCCACAGAAUCACAGAGUAGUUGAGGUCAGAAGGGACCUGGAAAAGUCUUUUAUCGUUGCCAUGGAUCUUGCCCAUAUGAGUAAGCAAGCUACGCAAUACACAGUUUGGUACACAGCAUUCGGGUAUGACACUGUUCUGUAACCCCCGGUCUCCACCACCCUACCAUGGACUACUAAUAGGCUCUUUUUUGUAAUCAGUCAGGCCCACUAUGCUAAAGUGUCUCAAAUAAAUAUGAAGUGCAGGCAUGGUAUAGUCCUGACAGUGUAUUCACAAACUCGAAAUCCUAACAGUCUUACUUUAGGUAUCUAGUCCAACCAUUUAUCCCCUUCUGAGUUUCAGAGGAACUAUUCCAGUGUGCUACAAAGCUUUCUCUUACUGCUUGCAGAGCAAAAGAGAAAAAGGUAUGCUGGGUGGCUAGACAGUAAUACAACAGGAAAAGCAAAAAACUCCGAGACAAAUUUUGCACCCUUGCCGCCAAAUGAAACAAAAAUCUCACCCUUGUGAUACUGGUGCUAGUCAAACUUGCCACCACCUUCUCAUCAAUGAAAGAUCAAGGCACCACCCUGUCCUUCAGGACUCAAGGAAGCACGUCUGACUCAUACCAGCACUGAAUUUUUCGGGACUCAACCAAAAAUGCUCAGCUCUUACUCGACAUUUAACUUUCCUCUUCUGUCUGCGGUGAUAACAGGACAAAGGAACACGUCCUUUUGUCAAUAUACCUAGACAGCUAAUCUGCAUUGUGCAAGCAAAUUCAGAGCACUCCUCACCCUCCUGACAUGCUUAACUUUUCUCCCUUUCGCCAUGAUGAUUUUUGUUACUGGUCCAUUCCUUGACAGCAGUACCUGGAAUGAAAAUGUUCUGCUGCUAUCCAGAGCUACCCCACAUUAGCAAAAGAGGUCAUGACUGGGCCACUCGGAAAGUGCCUUCAUUCAGCACAACCCUCAGUAAUGUAUGGUGCUCAUCUAGCACCCCAGUUCCCAGAGCAGAGGAAGCAGCACACCAAUGACCUGUAACACCCAUGUCUAUGGAGGAGCAAGGCUUUGUGGAGGGAGAGGGCAGAGCUGGGGCCCAAAUGAAAAAAAAAAGGCUUGCUGCUUAGACCUCUGCUUGUCUAAAGCAAAAAGAGAUCCAGUAUCUUGAUGGCUCUUAGCAACGUCUUUAAAGGGGUGAAAAAUCUGAAGUGUGGCCUCUAGCCAUGCCCUACAAAGUUCAGCAAAGAGUUGAACAUCAAUUUUUUUUUCUUGAAUAGCUAGAGAUUACUAAUUCUGAUGAGAUUUAAUUAUCUAUAUGUCUUUGUGCUGCAUAUUUAUAUUAACUCAUCGUGUUUGCUUUGGAGAGGGGAUUAGGAAAAGAGAAGGAACCGGACAGCAUAGCACUGAUAUCCCACAUAAAUUAAGACAUUCUGCAGGAAGGUCAUAUCUCCCUGCAGCAGUUGCAGCUUGUGUGUUUCAGGUGGAAAAUAACUUUUGACACUUGCUACUAGAAAGUUUUAAAUAAGUCUCUACUCAUUCAGAUAACAGAGGCUCCUGUUAAUGGCUGACCUGGGACAUGUACAUAUUAUAAAGGACCAGAGUAGAGUUGCUAUUUUUAUGCAGGCUAGAGAAGGAAGUUGGCUGUGACUGAAAACCAAGAGCACACUGGAUGUUGUGGGUUUCAUUUUUAGCUAUACAUUAAACCUCUAAUGCCACUUCAGUCAAACCAUUCCUAUGUCUUUAUGCUUUUAGCAUCUGUUUAUUGUGUCAUAUGAAGGUCACAUCCCUGAUGUUAGUUCGAUAGGUGAAGCACUCAGCAUUGGCUUAAUUCUGUAUCAUUUAAGUUACUGGUAGCUUUAGCACUGUAAUUAAGCCAAUUUUUGCCAUGUCUGCAAACUCCCUCAGGUGAAAAGAUCCGAAGCGUUGUUCAUCUCUGCCUGUGAGCCCCUAUGCUUCAAAAUCAGGUCCUUUGCACCCACAGCACUUUAUUCCAUUGUAUUCUAGCUCUCGUGAGCACUCCCUCUUUUUUGCUUGCUACUUUACCUCUCUCAUGACCAUCGAAGUUAUGGGACAAGCUGCACUAAUAAUAUGGUCUACAGACGUGUAAGUGGGAGAUUGAAACUGAGUGAGGGUGCCAGGAUGGGAGACUAGGAUUAGAAAGUUCUGAGAGACAAAUCAGAGAAAGUAAGUGAGGGAGCUAAGGUGAGAGAGAUGGAGAGUUCAGCUGGGCUAGAAGACUGAGAGAGCAUAGAGGUCUGGAGAGAAGACUCACAACACCCUUACCAUAGGGAAGAGACAGCUACAGAGGCAGGAGCGGGUGUAAGAAGCCAAGGAUGGGAAAGAAACAAACUAAAGAGUUUGGGGCAGUUGAGGGUCAAGCCUAAUAGAAAUGUCUAGAAACACCUAAGCCCACUAGGUCAGGUUUUUGACCUGCCCAAAAGCCAGUGGACUACCUCUGCUGUGUCUUCUAUCUUCAUUCCUGACAAGCACAAAGAAGAUAUACCUGCUGCUACCAUUAUGUCCUCUGUUAGCUCAACUGAAAGAGGUUGGUGCAGUAGUCAAAAAGGCUCCAAGCUGUUUGAUUCCUUCCAUGCAAAAGAACAGACCAUCCAUGACCAUUUAAAGUGCAAAACAAUGCGGACCCCAGCUUAAAACAUAAAUGAAUAUUAGUGCAACAGGUUCUCCUCUCUGGUGAAGAGCAUGCUAUCUCCUGCUGCUUCCUGAUAAAUACCAGCUUUUCCAAAAUACUGCAGACCAUUAGCCUUUGAUCCUACUUUUACAUUUUAAAAUUGAAAUACCAUCAGAAAAUACUUUCUAGAAAGAUGGAUGAAAUACAUAGGGCCUUGUGGAGCCAGAGAAUCUCAACCUUAUCCAAAGAUUCACUUGGUCUCUUUCACGCUGUGUUGUCAUUUAGCACACUCCUCUCUUUCUUCCUCACUGCCACUCUUGCCUUGAGUAUUGGAAACCAAAAGUUAACCUAAAAAGACAGAAAGAUGAUGCUAAGAUCAUAGCGUUACUGAGUUACAGACCACCCAGACACUAACAUCCCACAUAGUCAGGAUUGAAAGCUACUUUUUAUAAAAACUCAUGUAUGUGUCUGUAGUUAUCUGUUCAGAUUUACCAUUUUACCGUGUUUAUAUUUCCAUUAGUACAUAUACAUACCAUAUAUAUAUAUAUAUAUAUACACAGAUUUAUGGCAAGUGUUACCAAAAAGUUCUGUUACCUAAUGCUAUUUGCCCUCCGACUAUGCUUUUAAAGCAGAAAUAUAUGAUCUUCCAUUUUGCUAAACAGCAAUUGAAUAGCUCUCUUAACAUUAAGAGACUGCUCAGAAAUACCUAACAUUUGCUGUCUAGAUUGCAAGAAUACUUUUCGUGCUGGAAGUUCUUUUUAUACAUUCAUGAAAACCAAGCUUCUCCUCUGGAGACCUGCAGGUCUGAGGAGUAUUUUCUUGCCAGCAUGUAGUCAUUUGGGUCAUUUGGCUGUACUCAUGUUCUGUGAGAUGCAUGUGUGUUGAGGGGCAGAGCAACAUGGUUACAACAGGCAACUCACUCCAGGCCCACUUCAGGAAAGCAUUUAAGUAUUCCCCAUUUGGGAAAGUUUACUAACACAUAAUUGAACUUAAAAAAUGUUUAAAUAUUUUCUGAGUCUGAAUGUGGCUACUACCCUGAGAGAAGGAGAUUUGUUUUUCCGUACUGCUGAUGGCUUACCGUUCUAGCAAAUGCAAUCUUCUUCACAGUUUUCUGUUGUAGCUUUGCUCUUUUCCUGAGUAAUUUUGCAUGCAGAUAAUAUAUCCGUUUCAUCUCAGUGUCAGGAUAAAAUGAAGCUGACACAAGUAUUUUAAGUUGGGUGAGGACACCAGAGAAUAAUCCCAAAACUGUUAAGAAGACGACGAUAAUUCCAAGUGGGAUCCAUGUCGCGGACAGAUAGAGUUCUGGCUUAGGGAUGCAGUCAUGCUUAAACAGAGAGAUCUUGAAAAGGUCAUUCUUUACAGUAAGUGCUCUAUUACCAAUGAUAAAGUUGUUCUCAUUUCUCUGCACAAGAAAAGGGGAAAGAGAGAGUUGAUUGUAGUACUGAUUGCCCCCUUUUUAACUAUUUUUCCCAUUUGAUAUUCAGUUUUACAAAGGACUAUAAAUCAUCUAGUCCAUCUACAUUUUGUCCAUCCUACAAAGGACUACUCACAACAAUAUAUUUAUUAACUGUCUUUAAAAUGUGUCAGAUUGCGUUUUCACCAUUUCUAUAGGGAGACUGUCCCACAGCUUAGACUGUUAGAAACUUAGCUGCUUGGUGGCUCUGACACACAAACACUUAGCUAAUCUGGCUGUGGUGGUGUCAUAGACUCCCACUCCCCUGAAUCUGCCCAUAUCUUCUGUUAGAGGGUCCUCCCUUCGGAAUAAAACCAUGGAGCAGAAUGUGUCAGUCCCUUAAUUUGUAGCUCAGUACGUACUCAACAGUGCUUCCACACUUCCACCUAGGCCAGUGCUCUGACCACAAGGUUAUUGCGCAAAACAAAGUCACCUCUCCUCCUCUAAAAGGUGCCUGAUCUCAGAAGAGCUGAUGUCUUGCACUGUUUGUGGACGGAGAUGCUGAAUGACAGGAACUAAAUGAGAUAUGCUGCUGGGGACAGUAUUUCCUACUGGCAAGAAACUUUCUGCUCAGCAUGUAGGAACACUGAAUCAUCCAGCUCUCUUUUCUUUUCUUCUCAUCCCCUCUUGUCCAGGGGAUAUAUGGCUCUUCUCUGUGGCUCUUCAACCACGCUACAGAGAUCAGGUACUUCUGUUAAGCACUCAUUAGAUAAGUCAGGUGCCCAAAAUAAGCCAUUCAUUUUCAGCCUGUUCUCCCUUUUCUUAACAUUUCCUGUUAUCCCUUUUCUUAACAUUAUCCUGUUCCAAUCUACCUCAGUCUGUUGUUACUAUAUACUGAACUGAUAUAGAAACAAGGAAAACUUGCAUUAGGAACUCUAUGAAACACAGAUACAAAAAUGCAUGCAGACCUUAACUGUUCAUGCCAAGAAUAAACACCUCAGGAGGUUGCUGAGUGUGUUCUGCUUUCAGUCGCUUUCUCUGAGAUCAGCAACCCUGAGGUUUGUUAUGACAAAACCAUUAAGAUUAAAUUUUACAUUUUUAUGUGAUUAGCCUUCAGUGGGGAACUAGAAGCAAUCUGAUACUUGCCAAAUUUUCUCUUUUGGGAGAGAGUCUAUCAGCUCUCCAAAGGAUUGAAUACUGCACAUAAACAGAACAAAUCUAAAGUGUGGAGGCCAUGAAUCAGACAGGCAGGGUCAAGCUCAGAUUAGUGAAUGGUGAGACUAAGCUCCUUCCUUGCACUGACUUGGCUUUCACCCCAUGCAGAUCAUGAGGGGCUGUCCUCAAGGUGAGAAGGGCAGGAACACAUGCAAAAUGGCAUACUGAAUCACACAGAGGAUGGUUGAGGUUGGAAGGGACCUCUGGAGAUUAUCUAGUCCAACCUCCCCCCCCAGCUCAAACAGCAGGGAGUGGGUUGAGCAGGUUGUUCAGGAUCGUGUCCAGUCAGCUUUUGAAUAUCUCCAAGGUCAGAGACUCCACAACCUCUCUGGGAAAACUGUUCCAGUGUUUAAGCACGCUCACAGUAGAAAAGUUUUUUUCUAAUGUUUAGGUGGAAUUUCUUGUAUUUCAGUUUGUGCCCUUUCCCUCUUUUCCUGUCACUAGGCACCACUGAGAAGAGCUUGGCUCCAUCUCCUUCACUUCCUGCCUUGAGAAAUUUACAUGCAUUGAUAAGAUCUCCCAAGCCUCCUCUUCCCCAGGCUGAACAGUCCCAGCUCUGUCAGCCUUUCCUCAUAAGACAGAUGCUUCUGUCCCUUAAUGAUCUUUGUGGCCCUUUGUCGGAAUUGCUCCAGCAUGUCCAUGUCUCUCUUGUGCUGGGGAACCCAGUACUGGACCCAGCACUGCAGACGUGUCUCACCAGGGCUGAGUAGAGAUCCCGGGUGCCUGUUGCUCUUGCUUGAUUUCCUGUUUGUUGAGAUGGACCAUUCUUGAGCUUAGAGGAAGUGGUCCUUGAAAAUCAACCAGUUCUCUUGGACUUGUCAUCUCUUGAGGACUGUGUCCCUGGGGAUCAGGACCGUUCGUGGUCCCAUGGAUGUUUUGGUGAUGCUAGAGCACAGCUGCUGUUCAGCAGGAAGGUUUUUAUGAGAUGCCCAAGAUGUGGGAAGGCAGGCACUCUGGAGUAAGAGCAAACGUGAGGAGUAAAGCCCCCUUUAGCAUGUGUGGCAAUCUGCCACUGCAACAUAUCUCACAUUAUAUUGAACAGAUGAUGACAGCCUGUCUGCUUUUGCACAGGAAUCUGACCUCUCCAGGAUGAUUCUGGCUUGCUACACAUGCACAAAUCACACAGGUACAGCAGUUUCAACAGCUUUUUUAAAGAAAGUUUGGGUAAUAGUCUGCACUUGGCAGCCCGCAUCCUUUAGGUGAAAAUGAGUUUUCCAUUGACAUGAAUUGGUAACUUUUGGCUUAUGUCUACCAUACAGAUCCUGAAUUUCUCCAUUUGUUAAGAAAGAACUGGUCAAUAAUUUAAUUUUUAUCCUAUGGAAAUGUUUGAUAUUUUGAUAUAUCAUGCAAAAAUAUCAUCAUCUGAGGAAUAAUAGAAUUUGACUUGUGGCCUGACUUUUCAUUUUAACUCAUUUCAGUACAAGGUUGCACUUGCCUGAGGUGCCCCCAUGUCUCAAGCACGCUGUGCCCUAAGGCUUCCUUUUCCCUCAUGGCUCAGUCCCAAGCAGAUGAACUUCCCAUGACACACCGGGACCACCAGGCUGCCACAGGACUGUCUAAGCUAAACCUGCAACAGCCUAACAGUGUGUCAUUGGAAGUGUGGUCUGGCUGAGGAGAUCAGCUCAGAGGGACAAUAUGCCACAGGCAGAAGUCAGAAUGGAAAUCUCUUUGUCAAAGAUUGUAUGUCUUGUUCUGUUUACUUGUAAUUUUGAGCAAAACACUUACUGUAUUGCUCACCUUAAGAAUCUUACUCUCUGAAGUCUCUUUUGUCAAAAUGAGCUUUGGGGGGAUGGUGAGAAAAGGGAAUGAAUCCUCAGUAUGAUCAGCUCUAAGAAGAAGUAAUAGAAAACAUUGAGUAAGGAAGCACUGACAGAGGAAAGAGCUUGUAUCACAUUGCACUAAUAGUCAAACAUCCCCUUGAAAUGCUUUUAUCUUGAAAGUAUCAAAGGGUUAUAUGCUUUGGGGAAAUGUUUUAAGCCUGUUCCUGCAAGCUAUCAAAUUGCACAGCUUUCCUGUGCCUGUGCAGCAUCACACAGCAAUGGUGAAGCUGGCAUCAAAUGUGCAUAGGGAUGUCUCCCUUGCCCCCUGCUCCAGCAGCUGCUUAUGGAUUUUCACCUAAAUGAUAAUUCAGAAAUCGUCCUUGGACUAGGGGCUAGAAGUUGGGAGGCCUCAUUCCCAAGGGGAUAUCCUAUCAUUAGGCUAUAUUGUCUUUACACUCUUCCUUCCAGAUUCUUUACUCUUGCACUCCUGGCUUCAGCAUGGCCUAGCUGGAAGAUGAGGAGAGGAGAAUAAUUCACCUACAGGGAGCAGUAACCUCUCCAGACAGUGAAGCUCAGAGCCAGGGCUCUUGGUUACUCAAGACUGCCAGCCAAUACUUGGAAGACCAUACAAGAUGGCCUGUGGAUUUUUUUUCCUCGAAGCUUAAGCAGUCCUCUACAUUAAAAAGGUUAGAGAAAUUGCUUUAGUAAUAUAAAUAUAUCACAUUAAAAAACAGUUAUUAGCUUGUGUGGCAACUAAAAAUGAGACUUAUUUCUGUUUCCAAAGCUCAGAAUUAUUGUGGGUAUUUUAUUUUGUUUUUAUUUUUAAUUAAAACUCUAGUACAGCA